rnacentral:lncRNA from 1 species
AUGUUUUUAAAGGUAUUUUAUCCAGAUCCCCACUCUGUUUUUGGAACAUGGGUUCUCACAAAGCAGUUUUCAGAUGCAGGCUGGCUUUACGGUGCCACUUGUGACUUCUGCGGAUGCUUGAGUGGGGUAAUGGCUUCUUUCUUUCCUUCCUUCUCAGAAGUGAACCAUUCGGGAUGUCACAAAGGGGUUACCGGGGGGCCAGGCCUUUAUGUGGUGCCCACGUUUGCGGUGGGUGCAGCUGCUGUGCGGAGCACCAGGUGUCACUGUUCCUCCAUGGUGAAGUGCCUGCCUGUGCAUUUUUUGGGCUGGGAGUGCAAAGUAGCUGGAGGUGGCAAAGAAAUGGCAUGUUUGAAGCUGGAAGGAGGAUGGGAGCCAGCAACCGGCGUGACUGGAGGCCUUCUCAGAGAGCCGAGCUCCUGUUUGCCGUUUUCUGCUGCUCAGGUUCUCUCAUGAACUGGAUUUUCAGGGGAUUAAUCAUGAUGAAGAUUGUUAAAUUGGUGACACAGGUUGGGUUGCAUAAAUAAAGUAUUGAAUCUGGAUUACCUACUGAAAUGA